UUCUAUAAUUCUGUAACAUGAUUUUAUUCUGUAUUUAAUUUUAAAAUGUAUUAAUUUGAUAUUCUGAAAUUUGAAAAUCUGAAUUUUAUGUGACAAAUGGUCGUAAAGAUAAGCGCUAGGUGGUCGAUCAUCAUCAAUUUCACCAGCUUAACCCAGUUUGUGUAAUUGGAAUGAAUUUGCUAAAUACUUGCACUCGAAUCGUUGGUACUCGUGACAACGCCUAUCGUUUGAAUGACAAUGCAGAAAGAAAGAUGAUAAAUCGUGUAAAUCAAGACGAGGUAUCUGCAGCAUAGCUCGCUGCGAUUUUUAUGCAUCCAGAUACCGGUACACUUGGUAAGCAUCGAGGUCAGAGCAACCGAGAAAUCGUCGCUGUCCGAGAAAAACAUUUUUACUUUCGAGAUUUUACUUAUCUGGUCUCGCGAGCGUACUUUCUUGCGAAAGCGAGCUCUCGCUCUCGCUACUGCGAUAUACUUAUUCCGAUCGAGUGAUGUUUCAAGCCGCUCGAAUUCACCGGCAUCCAACAUUCAUCGGCUGAAUACAUAGUAAUCAUUCUUAUUGCUACGUGUGCGUCGUCAUUCAUACCGUGCAAGGUCAUUCUGUAAAAAGAAGAAAGAAACCUAUUACGAUUCAUGCAUAAAUGCCUGGAUAUUGCGGUUUUUUAUUCGAGACAAAAUCGAUGGUUGGUCGUGAGUUAUGCAUGAUACUCGCGCGAGCACUUUCGAGCCCUCUAUGAAUCUCGAUCGUGGCCAAUAGCUGUGCGGCUGAAACGAUGACAAACGCAAAUUAUGAAAAAACUUGCUAGAGGAAAAAGCGAUCAUCGCACACGCAACUGCACAAGAACAUGAACAGACUUACAUCGACGCACGACGUUUCCAGUCCGUCGUCGUCCGUUUGCCAGUGCAGCGACAGAGAAAAAAAGAGAGAGAGAAACUAACAACGGUCUCGCACAAGUGACGCGAUCGGUGUCGUCGCAACAUCAGCACUGCAAAAAUAUGUCGAUGUCUAUUAUCGAAGAAUCUACUGACUAUAGUGGCAUAGUAAACAGUGCACAAAAUAUUGGUAUGAAUUGCUGCUGCUAUUACACUUGCUGGUGCUACUGUUGCAGUUGCUGCUGCAAAUUUAAGGGUAAAGUAUUCAAUACAUUGUUAUUACGGACACAUAGAAGACUAUACUUAUUACAUUCUAGGGAUUUGGGUUUCAGCAAAUAGACUGCUUCAAUAUCGAAGCGGGGAGUUCAGGAGUAUUGUGGAGUUCAGGAGUGGAAUAUUGUGUUUCCUAAAAGUCCAAUUUACGUCUCAGUGUUGUUCAAAAUGCCAAAUUUUACCUCAUUAUGGAAAAAUUCGAUAGUGCAGUAUCGAUCACGUGAUUGUUGAAACAAGUAUACCGUUAUAAGAUGUCCGUCGCUGAUAGAUUUUCUUAAAUAUCGGGAGAUUUAGCGUUCGUAUCGAGAAAAUAACACCAAAUAAACGUAGUCAAGAUAUGUACAAAGGCA